rnacentral:tRNA from 1 species
GGGCGCUUGGUCUAGGGGUAUGAUCUUCGUUUCGCAUACGAAAAGUCGUGGGUUCGAUUCCUACAGCGUCCA